rnacentral:rRNA from 1 species
UCUACGGGAGGCAGCAGUAGGGAAUUUUGCGCAAUGGGCGAAAGCCUGACGCAGCAACACCGCGUGAAUGUUAAGCCCUUCGGGGUGUAAAGACCUGUCAAUAGGGACGAAUUUUGACUGUACCUAUAAAGGAAGCACCGGCUAACUCCGUGCCAGCAGCCGCGGUUAUACGGGGGGUGCAAGCGUUGUCCGGAAUCAUUGGGCGUAAAGCGGUCGUAGGCGGCAAUGUAAGUCUGAUGGUAAAGCCUGGGGCUCAACUCCGGUUCGGCAUUGGAUACUAUCUAUCUUGAGUGUGGUAGAGGUAAGGGGAAUUCCUGGUGUAGCGGUGAAAUGCGUAGAUAUCAGGAGGAACAUCGGUGGCGAAAGCGGUUUACUGGACCAUUAUUGACGCUGAGGAACGAAAGCGAGGGGAGCGAAUGGGAUUAGAUACCCCUGUAGUC